rnacentral:misc_RNA from 1 species
GAGUUCUUGCCCUUACGGGUAGAUCUCCCACCCUGUGUUAUCAUUACCUUUGUUGCUUUGGCGGAUCGUUCGGUUCUGUCGACCACCGGCUUCGGCUGGUGUGCGUCCGCCAGAGGACCCCAAACUCUGAAUAUUAGUGUUGUCUGAGUACUAUAUAAUAGUUAAAACUUUCAACAACGGAUCUCUUGGUUCU